UUAUCGUUUGCGCUAAAAUACAUCAAUGUGUGUGAAAUUCGUUGUCAUUGCUUUUGUUUUGAACAUCAUAUUCGUGCCUGCCGGUGGAAAAAUUAGAGCGACAUAUUAGUGCAUUGGUAAAGUGCUCUUAUCAUUGUGUUAUUGUCAACUGCAGCCAAUCUUCUUUGGACAAUAAGUUGUAUUGGUGGAGCAGUUUCCUGAGCUUUGGAAGUGUUUGGGCUUGUUCGAGUUGCAAUUACAACUGUAGUGUUGCGUGAAUAAAGCAUCACGUUCGCUGUGAAUUUCUAGCAACGUUUUACCAAUUAGGAUGUUGGAACCGUCUUGCAAAUUUUCAUCAGCGCUGCAGUUUUUGUGCUUUUAUUGCGUGCCUCGAGCAGGCCCUUUAUCAGUGAAUAGUUGUGGUUGUUGUAGUAGUAGCCGCAUUACGAAGCCCGGCCUCAGUCGGUUUUCCAUCAACAACAACGACAAUAAUAACCUGUUUAUGCAUUCCUGUUUUAUUGCAUUCCCCUUUCCAAAUUAAUAUUAUACUAUGUUUAAGGCUCGGUGAAAUAAAUGAAGGUCUACUGGAGGCAAAUUAAAAUAUCUCCCUCAGCAAAAAUGAGACUCUCGCUCAUGAUGAAAGCAUGUUAAUAGUUUAUUCUUUGAAACAUCACCGACAUAGUCAUAUUCUAAAGCAUCAUCAACGCCAUCACCAAAUUCAAUGCCAUCAACACCAUCAGCGGCUA